AGGAGAUCUGAGAAAAAGAGAAGAAGAAUAUAGCACACGAUAUUUACGUGGUUCGACCACCGGCCUACGUCCAAGGGCGAAGACGGAGCGGAGAUCUUCAUUAUAAUUAAAGUGGUGUACAAAAUAUGUCUCUCUCACGAAACCCUAAUUCCAAAAAAUACACCCAUACUCUCUCUUUCAUCUUCCGCACUAAACCAAUGGAAUAAAGCGUAUAUUUAUAAUAGUGGCUAAUCCUAAUACAACUAGAAAUACAAACCCACUAAGAUUAAAAAUAUCUCAAUAAAAUUAGGUAUAAUCUAAACUUAACUUAAUGGGACAAUCAAAACAGAAUAGGGUU
rnacentral:lncRNA from 1 species